rnacentral:rRNA from 1 species
AUUGAACGCUGGCGGCAGGCCUAACACAUGCAAGUCGAACGAGUGGCGGACGGGUGAGUAAUGUCUGGGAAACUGCCCGCUGGAGGGGGAUAACAUCUGGAAACGGGAGCUAAUACCGCAUACUCUCGGAGGUGCCCAGAGGGGAUUAGCUAGUAGGUGGGGUAACGGCUAACCUAGGCGACGCUCCCUAGCGGGGCUGAGAGGAUGACCAGCCACACGGGAACUGAGACCCGGUCCAGACUCCUACGGGAGGCAGCAGUGGGGAAUAUUGCACAAUGGGCGCAAGCCUGAUGCAGCCAUGCCGCGUGUAUGAAGAAGGCCUUCGGGUUGUAAAGUACUUUCAGCGAGGAGGCGUUACUCGCAGAAGAAGCACCGGCUAACUCCGUGCCAGCAGCCGCGGUAAUAC